rnacentral:rRNA from 1 species
UGCCCAAGAGAUCGGGAUAACACCUGGAAACAGAUGCUAAUACCGGAUAACAACAGAUGAUGCCUAUCAAUUGUUUAAAAGAUGGUUCUGCUAUCACUCUUGGAUGGACCUGCGGUGCAUUAGCUAGUUGGUAGGGUAACGGCCUACCAAGGCGAUGAUGCAUAGCCGAGUUGAGAGACUGAUCGGCCACAUUGGGACUGAGACACGGCCCAAACUCCUACGGGAGGCAGCAGGC